UCUCUCACUCUGUUCUGUCUUGUUUUGUUUACGGGUAUUGGUGUUGAAUAUUAUUAGAGUUUUCUUGCAAUGUUAAUAGUGCUUCUUCAGUAUUCUUGUUCUAAAUAACAUUCUUAACAUAAUGAAAUAGUUUUUCAUCGCUUGAAUGUGUUUUGUGCUAUUAGCUAUUUAACUUGAUUACUACUACCUUAUUCAAAGUGCUGUUGAACGUAAUUCAGACGUUAGCUGAAAAUGAUAUCUACAUUUUAGGCAUGAACCAGAUUGUUAGAGAUUGAGAUACAUGGCAGCAUAUCUGUGUGCAAUACGUCAAUCCUGAUAUGAGUUUGGCAUCCUUCAGUCAUGAUGGACUACGAGUAGUUCUUCAGUUAUAUACCAGAGCCUUCAAGUGUAGCACCUGACAGCUGGGUGGAGAGAGCAGUUUUGUGUGGUCUGCUUAGAAGUGCAUUGAUGCUGGAGUUGCAGCUUGCCUACAGCACUUUCUAAAGUGUAUUCAAAUCUUGGAAGCUGGUUACCAUGCAGAGCUAGGAAUGUUACUAUAGUUGGCCAAACGAAAAUGGGUCCCUCAAGGUCAAAGCUUGCUCUUGACACCACCACCCGUCUCUACCGACACUGUUGCCACUUUGUACUAAGGGUGGCUAGUAAGAGAGAAAGUGAAUGUGUGUGUGAGAGAGGGUGUGAUAGUGAAGUAGACUAUUGUUAUUGUGGGGAGUAUUGUUUGUCUUCUCUGUCCAAAGCCUGGAUGAAGUGUGAUGGGAAUCAAAUUCAUGCAAAUUGAAAAAUGCUGAGUGAAGUGGGCACUACUAGAAUAUUGACUAAAAUAAAUAAAAUUACAUCACUUCACUUCCAAUUGAUGAUUAUAAAAGUCUUCAUGUAACUUUUAUGAAGUAAUAGCUCAGUUUAUAAAUAGUUGCAUUUAUAAAGAAAAAUCUAAUCAUCAUUAUAAAAUUGGAUUUCUUGAUGUCAUGAUUCAAGAAAGAGUUAUACAUUAUACAUAACAAUAUUCUUUCCUUCAUUUCAUGAUGUUGAAGAAUAUAGCGGAUGAUGGGAGGAGGUAACGGGGGAUGUUAUUGAUCUAACUUCAAAGAAUGACACAAUAGAACUUUUGAACCUGACGUGCUCAAAAGAAUUUGUGACUGGUAGUGACGGAAAAGAGGAAGAGGGAAGGUAUGAGAAGGAAAGAACGAUGUUCAGGGUGUAGAAAUAUAGUCAAUGCAUAUAGACUGGUCGAGUGAGGGGUGGCCACCAGUGGCAACAUUGCAGUGGCCUUGAGAGACCCAUUUUCGCUUGGUCAACUAUAGCCUACUUUGAGGGUCAACUUCUCCGAUUAUCAUGGCGGUAGAUUAUCAUCUGUCACCAAUGAGGGAAGAUAACUUCAUUUUUUGUAGUCACAGGACUUGAGGAACGCGAGUUGGCAGUCACAUUAACUCUGGCAUUCGAAAACAUUGAUCCUAUUCUUCAUUUUAUGUUAUUUCAUCAAAUUAUUCGUUCUUUUAUGAUUUCUUCGUUCAUCUUAAUAUUUUAUGUUUUACUCAUUAGUAAUAAUAUAGUUUUAUGUUUUUAAUAUCA